rnacentral:pre_miRNA from 1 species
UCCAACAUUGACUGUCCGUCUUAUAUAAAUUUUUUUUAUAAUUCAUAUUUUUAUUGUUAUUAGAUGAUAAAACAUGAUUAAUAUUUUAUGCGUGACUUGUCUUUUUAAUUUUUUUCAUAAUUUUUCAAAUAAAACGGACGGUCAAACGUUGGACACGGAAACCAGAGUUUGUCCUU